UACGUAGGGUGCAAACGUUAUCCGGAAUUAUUGGGCGUAAAGAGCUCGUAGGCGGUUUGUCGCGUCUGCUGUGAAAACUGGAGGCUCAACCUCCAGCCUGCAGUGGGUACGGGCAAACUAGAGUGCGGUAGGGGAGAUUGGAAUUCCUGGUGUAGCGGUGGAAUGCGCAGAUAUCAGGAGGAACACCGGUGGCGAAGGCGGGUCUCUGGGCCGAUACUGACGCUGAGGAGCGAAAGCGUGGGGAGCGAACAGG
rnacentral:rRNA from 1 species